rnacentral:rRNA from 1 species
UUGCAGUUAAAAGCUCGUAGUUGGAUUUCGGAAGGUCCUUAGUAAUCCGCCCCUUCGGGGAGCGGGUUACUGGCCUCCUAUGUUCCUAACGGUCCUCAUCCGCGAGGGUGGGGAAUCAACCGCUAGGAUCGUUUACUUUGAGGAAAUUAGAGUGUUCAAAGCAGGCGUAACUCGCCUCCGAAUACGUUAGCAUGGGAUAAUGGAAUACGACUUCGGUCUUGUUUCGUUGGUUUCGCUUGGCUGAAGUAAUGAUUGAUAGGGACAGUUGGGGGCAUUAGUAUUUAGUUGUCAGAGGUGAAAUUCUAGGAUUUACUAAAGACUGACCAAUGCGAAAGCAUUUGCCAAGGAUGUUUUCAUUAAUCAAGAACGAAAGUAGGGGGAUCGAAGACGAUCAGAUACCGUCGUAGUCUCUACCGUAAACUAUGCCGACCAGGGAUCCGGAGAGUUUGCAUGGAUGACUCCCCGGGCACCUUGUGAGAAAUCAUAAGUGUUUGGGUUUUGGGGGGAGUAUGGUCGCAAGGCUGAAACUUAAAGGAAUUGACGGAAGGGCACCACCAGGAGUGGAACCUGCGGCUUAAUUUGACUC